UACGAAGGGGGCUAGCGUUGCUCGGAAUUACUGGGCGUAAAGGGCGUGUAGGCGGGUAGAUAAGUCGGGCGUGAAAUCCCUAGGCUCAACCUAGGAACUGCACUCGAAACUGUUUAUCUUGAGUGCCGGAGAGGAAAGCGGAAUUCCUGGUGUAGAGGUGAAAUUCGUAGAUAUCAGGAGGAACACCAGUGGCGAAGGCGGCUUUCUGGACGGUAACUGACGCUGAGACGCGAAAGCGUGGGGGAGCAAACAGG
rnacentral:rRNA from 1 species